UGGGGAAUAUUGGACAAUGGGCGAAAGCCUGAUCCAGCCAUGCCGCGUGUGUGAAGAAGGUCUUCGGAUUGUAAAGCACUUUAAGUUGGGAGGAAGGGCAGUUACCUAAUACGUGAUUGUUUUGACGUUACCGACAGAAUAAGCACCGGCUAACUCUGUGCCAGCAGCCGCGGUAAUACAGAGGGUGCAAGCGUUAAUCGGAAUUACUGGGCGUAAAGCGUGCGUAGGUGGUUAGUUAAGUUGGAUGUGAAAUCCCCGGGCUCAACCUGGGAACUGCAUUCAAAACUGACUGACUAGAGUAUGGUAGAGGGUGGUGGAAUUUCCUGUGUAGCGGUGAAAUGCGUAGAUAUAGGAAGGAACACCAGUGGCGAAGGCGACCACCUGGACUGAUACUGACACUGAGGCACGAAAGCAUGGGGAGCAAAAGGGAUUAGAUACCCCAGUAGUCCCUGAGCGGGCUGGCAAGGCGCAU
rnacentral:rRNA from 1 species